UCUCCGUAGGUGAACCUGCGGAGGGAUCACUACAAGUGACCCCGGUCUUACCACCGGGAUGUUCAUAACCCUUUGUUGUCCGACUCUGUUGCCUCCGGGGCGACCCUGCCUUCGGGCGGGGGCUCCGGGUGGACACUUCAAACUCUUGCGUAACUUUGCAGUCUGAGUAAACUUAAUUAAUAAAUUAAAACUUUUAACAACGGAUCUCUUGGUUCUG
rnacentral:misc_RNA from 1 species